rnacentral:rRNA from 1 species
GAUGAACGCUGGCGGCGUGCCUAAUACAUGCAAGUCGAGCGAACGGACGAGAAGCUUGCUUCUCUGAUGUUAGCGGCGGACGGGUGAGUAACACGUGGAUAACCUACCUAUAAGACUGGGAUAACUUCGGGAAACCGGAGCUAAUACCGGAUGAUAUUUUGAACCGCAUGGUUCAAAAGUGAAAGACGGUCUUGCUGUCACUUAUAGAUGGAUCCGCGCUGCAUUAGCUAGUUGGUAAGGUAACGGCUUACCAAGGCAACGAUGCAUAGCCGACCUGAGAGGGUGAUCGGCCACACUGGAACUGAGACACGGUCCAGACUCCUACGGGAGGCAGCAGUAGGGAAUCUUCGCAAUGGGCGAAAGCCUGACGGAGCAACGCCGCGUGAGUGAUGAAGGUCUUCGGAUCGUAAAACUCUGUUAUUAGGGAAGAACAUAUGUGUAAGUAACUGUGCACAUCUUGACGGUACCUAAUCAGAAAGCCACGGCUAACUACGUG